CCUACGGGGGGCUGCAGUGGGGAAUAUUGGACAAUGGGCGAAAGCCUGAUCCAGCCAUGCCGCGUGUGUGAAGAAGGCCUUCGGGUUGUAAAGCACUUUCAGUGGGGAAGAAAGCCUUGGGGCUAAUACCCUCGAGGAAGGACAUCACCCACAGAAGAAGCACCGGCUAACUCCGUGCCAGCAGCCGCGGUAAUACGGAGGGUGCGAGCGUUAAUUGGAAUUACUGGGCGUAAAGCGCGCGUAGGCGGUCUGAUAAGCCGGUUGUGAAAGCCCCGGGCUCAACCUGGGAACGGCAUCCGGAACUGUCAGGCUAGAGUGCAGGAGAGGAAGGUAGAAUUCCCGGUGUAGCGGUGAAAUGCGUAGAGAUCGGGAGGAAUACCAGUGGCGAAGGCGGCCUUCUGGACUGACACUGACGCUGAGGUGCGAAAGCGUGGGUAGCAAACAGGAUUAGAUACCCCAGUAGUC
rnacentral:rRNA from 1 species